rnacentral:lncRNA from 10 species
GCAUUCCUCCGCGGAGAACUCUGAGUCUUGGGUUGUUUCCCUGUGUGAAAAAGGGAGACUGCAGUAACGGAAAGAAGAGAAAAAUCAGAUUUAAGCGACUGAAGAAAACAGAAAUUAAUAGUUAAAUGAUUAUUGAAUAGUUAAUAGUUUGAUAAAUAUUAAACCUAGUUAAUAGGUUUAUUUAUUUUUUUACAUUUGUUAAUUUCUCUUCAAAUGAGACCAGUCUUCUUAGUAAGCUAACAUAACACUUACUGAGAACACCUAUGUGCUAGGUACUUCAG